rnacentral:tRNA from 1 species
GCCGAGGUGGCGGAAUGGCAGACGCGUAGGACUUAGAAUCCUACGGAAUUUUUUCCUUGUGGGUUCAAAUCCCACCCUCGGCA